UACAGAGGGGGCAAGCGUUGUUCGGAAUUACUGGGCGUAAAGGGCGCGUAGGCGGCCUGUUAAGUCGAACGUGAAAUCCCCGGGCUCAACCCGGGAACUGCGUCCGAUACUGGCAGGCUUGAAUCCGGGAGAGGGAUGUGGAAUUCCAGGUGUAGCGGUGAAAUGCGUAGAUAUCUGGAGGAACACCGGUGGCGAAGGCGGCGUCCUGGACCGGCAUUGACGCUGAGGCGCGAAAGCCAGGGGAGCAAACGGG
rnacentral:rRNA from 1 species